AACCUGAAAGCCUCUGGCACCCAGGGUAACAUUUAUGUUAGACGCCAUACAAACCAACUAACACUACACAUGCAUUUAUAUUUGUGCAGCUUACAUAUUUUUACAUGCGUACACCAGAAUAAGGAUACAUUAAUAUGGCAUCUUUACACGCAUUUAUUCCAGUACAUUCGCCAGGAUAAGAAUCGUAUACAACCAGUCGAAUCGUGUAUAGAUGACCAUUAUGUAAUACUAAUUAUGUGCAUGAUAAUGAAAAUGUCAGAUUAGGCUAGCCUGUGUACAGCCGUUACUCUCGAUUAAGCGCGCGAGAGAACGUCUAUGAAUUGGAUGCAUAAUCGUCAAUUGUUCAGGUCACGUGGAUAGUUCCCAGAUUUGGGGACCGGCCUCUGAUUGGACAGUGCUUUAUUUGAAUAAUUUAUGACAAACGAAGCUAUUUCAUUGGUUAUAACAAUUCUUGAUCUGGAAUUUUAAAUAAAGCAUUGUCCAAUCAGAGGCGGUCCCCACAUCUGGGAACUAUCCACGUGACCUGAACAAGGAUUAUGUAUCCAACUCACAGACGUUCUCUCGCGCGCUGCGUUGAGAGUAACGGCUGUACACAGGCUAGAUUAGGCCAAAAAAAUAUGUGGGCUUCCGGUUUCCCGGUUCUACCUAGCUUUUGGACGCCGAAAUCCCGACCCCAAACUUUUUUUGGAUCAUGCUUGUAAGUGUUUCCACUUAGAGGAAAACGUUUGUGGAAAAUGGAAACUUAAGGCAAUAUAGGGAAAUUUAUCUUUGAAUGUGAAAGCACUGCCUAAACAAAAUAACGUCCGGUUUUUAGGGAAAAUUAAAAAAAGUUUAAAAAAAAUUAAAACCGACCUACCCUACCUAAGUUUUUACAAGAAGAAAUAGGAAACUCACAUAUUUCUUUGGCCUUAAACACAUUUUACUUUUUAAUUCACAUCUAUAUGAUAUUCAAGCACUUUUAGAAUACUAAUUAUUAGCCCAUGUAAGGUAAUCCAUGUACUCCUUGGAUUCCGGAUUCGUCGGAUUGAAUUCUGCAUUGUAUGUGGAUUACCUUACAUGGGCCAAUAAUUCAUAAACUUUGUGGCUAAUCAUGUCACCCAUAAUAUGUCACGUGCAGUGACUUUAUAUCUGAUAAAACACAUGUGGAUUAUAUAAUAGACAAUUCCAGCUUUCAAUUUAUGCGUGCAGGGGGUGACGGGAAGUAAGGUAUCAUCAUAGAAUAAGGCACACAGAAGGUCGACUCGAGUAACCGCUGCCACGCCAUGAUUCAUCAUCAAAAUGCUGACGCCAUGGUCCUAGCCAGUGCGCGUUUGAGAGGCAUUCCCCCUGGACGUUCGCCAUUUUGAAUAAUAUCAGGCGGGUGAAUGCUUCUCAAACGCGCACUGACUAGGCCAUGCGUCAGCAUUUGAUGACGAAUUACGGGUUACGCCAAAUCAUAGGAAAUUCAUAGGAAAAACCAAGAAGUAGGCCUUCUGUGUACCUUAUUCUGUGGUAUCAUGUUGCUGAUUAUGCUGAAAAAUUUCAAUAAAAACUACCGAAACAAC